rnacentral:rRNA from 1 species
CAGUCGCCGCGGUAAUACGAAGGGUGCAAGCGUUACUCGGAAUUACUGGGCGUAAAGCGUGCGUAGGUGGUGGUUUAAGUCCGUUGUGAAAGCCCUGGGCUCAACCUGGGAAUUGCAGCGGAUACUGGGUCACUAGAGUGUGGUAGAGGAUAGUGGAAUUUCCGGUGUAGCAGUGAAAUGCGUAGAGAUCGGAAGGAACAUCUGUGGCGAAGGCGACUAUCUGGGCCAACACUGACACUGAGGCACGAAAGCGUGGGGAGCAAACAGGAUUAGAUACCCGGGUAGUCCCUGUCUCUUAUAC